rnacentral:rRNA from 1 species
CAUGCAAGUCGAACGGUAACAUUUCUAGCUUGCUAGAAGAUGACGAGUGGCGGACGGGUGAGUAAUGCUUGGGAACUUGCCUUUGCGAGGGGGAUAACAGUUGGAAACGACUGCUAAUACCGCAUAAUGUCUUCGGACCAAACGGGGCUUCGGCUCCGGCGCAAAGAGAGGCCCAAGUGAGAUUAGCUAGUUGGUAAGGUAACGGCUUACCAAGGCGACGAUCUCUAGCUGUUCUGAGAGGAAGAUCAGCCACACUGGGACUGAGACACGGCCCAGACUCCUACGGGAGGCAGCAGUGGGGAAUAUUGCACAAUGGGGGAAACCCUGAUGCAGCCAUGCCGCGUGUGUGAAGAAGGCCUUCGGGUUGUAAAGCACUUUCAGUUGUGAGGAAAAGUUAGUAGUUAAUACCUGCUAGCCGUGACGUUAACAACAGAAGAAGCACCGGCUAACUCCGUGCCAGCAGCCGCGGUAAUACGGAGGGUGCGAGCGUUAAUCGGAAUUACUGGGCGUAAAGCGCACGCAGGCGGUUUGUUAAGCUAGAUGUGAAAGCCCCGGGCUCAACCUGGGAUGGUCAUUUAGAACUGGCAGACUAGAGUCUUGGAGAGGGGAGUGGAAUUCCAGGUGUAGCGGUGAAAUGCGUAGAUAUCUGGAGGAACAUCAGUGGCGAAGGCGACUCCCUGGCCAAAGACUGACGCUCAUGUGCGAAAGUGUGGGUAGCGAACAGGAUUAGAUACCCUGGUAGUCCACACCGUAAACGCUGUCUACUAGCUGUGUGUGUCUUUAAGACGUGCGUAGCGAAGCUAACGCGCUAAGUAGACCGCCUGGGGAGUACGGCCGCAAGGUUAAAACUCAAAUGAAUUGACGGGGGCCCGCACAAGCGGUGGAGCAUGUGUUUAUUCGAUGCACGCGAAAACCUUACCAGGCCUUGACAUCCUGAGACUUUCUAGAGAUAGAUCGGUGCUUCGGGACUCAGUGACAGUGUUGCAUGACUGUCGUCAGCUCGUGUCGUGAGAUGUUGGGUUAAGUUCCGUAACGAGCGCAACCUUAUUCUUUACUUGUCAGCCACUUCGGGGGUAACUUAAGGAACCUCCGGGUGACAAAACCGCAGAAAAGAAAAGAGAAUGUCAAGUUUCUAUGGGCCUUAUAAGCCGUGGGGGGUACACACAGCUCUA